rnacentral:rRNA from 1 species
GGAUCCAGACUUUGAUUAUGGCUCAGGAUGAACGCUAGCUACAGGCUUAACACAUGCAAGUCGAGGGGAAACGACAUCGAAAGCUUGCUUUUGAUGGGCGUCGACCGGCGCACGGGUGAGUAACGCGUAUCCAACCUGCCCAUCACUUGGGGAUAACCUUGCGAAAGUAAGACUAAUACCCAAUGACGUCUCUAGAAGACAUCUGAAAGAGAUUAAAGAUUUAUCGGUGAUGGAUUGGGAUGCGUCUGAUUAGCUUGUUGGCGGGGUAACGGCCCACCAAGGCAACGAUCAGUAGGGGUUCUGAGAGGAAGGUCCCCCACAUUGGAACUGAGACACGGUCCAAACUCCUACGGGAGGCAGCAGUGAGGAAUAUUGGUCAAUGGGCGAGAGCCUGAACCAGCCAAGUAGCGUGCAGGAUGACGGCCCUAUGGGUUGUAAACUGCUUUUAUAAGGGAAUAAAGUGAGUCUCGUGAGACUUUUUGCAUGUACCUUAUGAAUAAGGACCGGCUAAUUCCGUGCCAGCAGCCGCGGUAAUACGGAAGGUCCGAGCGUUAUCCGGAUUUAUUGGGUUUAAAGGGAGCGUAGGCCGGAGAUUAAGCGUGUUGUGAAAUGUAGACGCUCAACGUCUGCACUGCUGCGCGAACUGGUUUCCUUGAGUACGCACAAAGUGGGCGGAAUUCGUGGUGUAGCGGUGAAAUGCUUAGAUAUCACGAAGAACUCCGAUUGCGAAGGCAGCUCACUGGAGCGCAACUGACGCUGAAGCUCGAAAGUGCGGGUAUCGAACAGGAUUAGAUACCCUGGUAGUCCGCACGGUAAACGAUGGAUGCCCGCUGUUGGUCUGAAUAGGUCAGCGGCCAAGCGAAAGCAUUAAGCAUCCCACCUGGGGAGUACGCCGGCAACGGUGCAACUCAA